rnacentral:rRNA from 1 species
GAUGAACGCUGGCGGCGUGCCUAAUACAUGCAAGUCGAGCGAACGGACGAGACGCUUGCUUCUCUGAUGUUAGCGGCGGACGGGUGAGUAACACGUGGAUAACCUACCUAUAAGACUGGGGUAACUUCGUGAAACCGGAGCUAAUACCGGCUUAUAUUUUGAACCGCAUGGUUCAAAAGUGAAAGACGGUCUUGCUUUCACUUAUAGAUGGAUCCGCGCUGCAUUAGCUAGUUGGUAAGGUAACGGCUUACCAAGGCAACGAUGCAUAGCCGACCUGAGAGGGUGAUCGGCCACACUGGAACUGAGACACGGUCCAGACUCCUACGGGAGGCAGCAGUAGGGAAUCUUCCGCAAUGGGCGAAAGCCUGACGGAGCAACGCCGCGUGAGUGAUGAAGGUCUUCGGAUCGUAAAACUCUGUUAGUAGGGAAGAACAUAUGUGUAAGUAACUGUGCACAUCUUGACGGUACCUAAUCAGAAAGCCACGGCUAACUACGUG